UACGGGGGGGAGCAAGCGUUUGUUCGGAUUUACUGGGCGUAAAGGGCGCGUAGGCGGCGCAACAAGUCACUUGUGAAAUCUCCGGGCUUAACCCGGAGCGGCCAAGUGAUACUGUCGUGCUAGAGUGCGGAAGGGGCUACUGGAAUUCCCGGUGUAGCGGUGAAAUGCGCAGAUAUCGGGAGGAACACCAAUAGCGAAGGCAGCUCGCUGGGACGGUACUGACGCUGAGGAGCGAAAGCGUGGGGAGCGAACAGG
rnacentral:rRNA from 1 species